rnacentral:rRNA from 1 species
GAUGAGCGCUGGCGGCGUGCCUAAUACAUGCAAGUCGAGCGAAUGGAUUAAGAGCUUGCUCUUAUGAAGUUAGCGGCGGACGGGUGAGUAACACGUGGGUAACCUGCCCAUAAGACUGGGAUAACUCCGGGAAACCAGGGCUAAUACCGGAUAACAUUUUGAACCGCAUGGUUCGAAAUUGAAAGGCGGCUUCGGCUGUCACUUAUGGAUGGACCCGCGUCGCAUUAGCUGGUUGGUGAGGUAACGGCUCACCAAGGCAACGAUGCGUAGCCGACCUGAGAGGGUGAUCGGCCACACUGGGACUGAGACACGGCCCAGACUCCUACGGGAGGCAGCAGUAGGGAAUCUUCCGCAAUGGACGAAAGUCUGACGGAGCAACGCCGCGUGAGUGAUGAAGGCUUUCGGGUCGUAAAACUCUGUUGUUAGGGAAGAACAAGUGCUAGUUGAAUAAGCUGGCACCUUGACGGUACCUAACCAGAAAGCCACGGCUAACUACGUGCCAGCAGCCGCCGUAA